GCCGGAGUGGUGGAACUGGCAGACGCGCUGGACUCAAAAUCCAGUGGGCGCAAGUCCGUGAGGGUUCAAAUCCCUCCUCCGGCA
rnacentral:tRNA from 2 species